rnacentral:rRNA from 1 species
CCUACGGGUGGCAGCAGUGGGGAAUAUUGGGCAAUGGGCGCAAGCCUGACGCAGCAACGCCGCGUGAAGGAAGAAGGCUUUCGGGUUGUAAACUUCUUUUGUCAGGGACGAAGCAAGUGACGGUACUUGACGAAGAAGCCACGGCUAACCACGGGCCAGCAGCCGCGGUAAUACGUAGGUGGCAAGCGUUAUACGGAUUUACUGGGUGUAAAGGGCGGGUAGGCGGGACUGCAAGUCAGAUGUGAAAACCACGGGCUCAACCUGUGGACUGCAUUGGAAACUGUAGUUCUUGAGUACUGGAGAGGCAGGUGGAAUGCCAGGUGUAGCGGUGAAAUGCGUAGAUAUUAGGAGGAACACUAGUGGCGAAGGCGGUCGGCUGGACAGCAACUGACGCUGAGGUGCGAAAGCGUGGGGAGCAAACAGGAUUAGAUACCCGUGUAGUC